rnacentral:pre_miRNA from 1 species
AAUAUACUCCCUCUGUCCCAAAUUACUUGUCGCAUGUAUAGAUGUAUCUAGAUGAAUUUUAGUUCUAGAUACAUCCAUUUCAGUGAUGAGUAAUAUGGAACCGUGGGAGUAUAAG